UGGGGAAUAUUGCACAAUGGAGGGAACUCUGAUGCAGCGACGCCGCGUGAGUGAUGAAGGAAUUCGUUUCGUAAAACUCUGUUCUAUGGGAAGAAAAGGACUGUACCAUAGGAGAAAGCUCCGGCUAAAUACGUGCCAGCAGCCGCGGUAAUACGUAUGGAGCGAGCGUUGUCCGGAAUUAUUGGGCGUAAAGGGUGCGCAGGCGGCUUUACAAGUUGGAUGUGAAAUAUUGUGGCUCAACCACAAACGUGCGUCCAAAACUGCAAAGCUUGAGUUAAGGAGAGGUAAGUGGAAUUCCUGGUGUAGCGGUGGAAUGCGUAGAUAUCAGGAGGAAUACCGGUGGCGAAGGCGACUUACUGGACUUAAACUGACGCUCAGGCACGAAAGCGUGGGGAGCAAACAGG
rnacentral:rRNA from 1 species